UACGUAGGUGGCAAGCGUUGUCCGGAAUUAUUGGGCGUGAAGCGCGCGCAGGUGGUUCCUUAAGUCUGAUGUGAAAGCCCACGGCUCAACCGUGGAGGGUCAUUGGAAACUGGGGAACUUGAGUGCAGAAGAGGAAAGUGGAAUUCCAAGUGUAGCGGUGAAAUGCGUAGAGAUUUGGAGGAACACCAGUGGCGAAGGCGACUUUCUGGUCUGUAACUGACACUGAGGCGCGAAAGCGUGGGGAGCAAACAGG
rnacentral:rRNA from 1 species